UACAGAGGGUGCGAGCGUUAAUCGGAAUUACUGGGCGUAAAGCGCGUGUAGGCGGUUGUCCAAGUUGGAUGUGAAAGCCUUGAGCUCAACUCAAGAAAUGCAUUCAGGACUGGAUGACUAGAGGACCGGAGAGGAUAGUGGAAUUCCCAGUGUAGUGGUGAAAUACGUAGAGAUUGGGAAGAACACCAGUGGCGAAGGCGGCUAUCUGGACGGUUUCUGACGCUAAGACGCGAAAGCGUGGGGAGCAAACAGG
rnacentral:rRNA from 1 species